AGAAUCAACGCUGGCGGCGUGCCUAACACAUGCAAGUCGAACGAGAAAGUGGAGCAAUCCAUGAGUAAAGUGGCGCACGGGUGAGUAACACGUGACUAACCUACCUUUUAGUGGGGGAUAACCUAGGGAAACCUGGGCUAAUACCGCAUAAUACUUACGAGUCAAAGCAGCAAUGCGCUGAAAGAGGGGGUCGCGGUCGAUUAGUUAGUUGGCAGGGUAAUGGCCUACCAAGACUGUGAUCGAUAUCCGGCCUGAGAGGGCGCACGGACACACUGGAACUGAAACACGGUCCAGACUCCUACGGGAGGCAGCAGUGGGGAAUUUUGCGCAAUGGGGGAAACCCUGACGCAGCAACGCCGCGUGGAGGAUGAAGUCCCUUGGGACGUAAACUCCUUUCGAUCGGGACGAUAAUGACGGUACCGGAAGAAGAGCCCGGCUAACUUCGCGCCAGCAGCCGC
rnacentral:rRNA from 1 species